UUUUUCAUUCUGAAACAGACUAACAUUGAGAAUUGGGUUCAAACCAGUCAAUGCUAAAGGAAACCAACCCUGAAUAUUCACUGGAAGGACUAAUGCUGAGGUGGAAGCUCCAAUACUUUGGCCAUCUGAUGCGAAGAGCCGACUCUUAAGAAAAGAACUUGAGGCUGGGAAAGAUUGCAGGCAAGAGGAGAACGAGGCAAAAGGGGAUGAGAUGGUUGGAUGGUAUCACUGACUCAAUGGACAUGAAUUUGNNNNNNNNNNNNNNNNNNNNNNNNNNNNNNNNNCUGCAGUCCAUGGGGUCACAAAGAGUUGGACAUGACUGAGCGAUUGAACUAAACUGAUCAAAGUGCCAGGUACUGUUCUCAGCACUUUCCUUACAUACACUUAUUUAGUCCUCAUAACCACUCCAUGAAAAAGGUACUGUUAUCAUCUCUGUUUUACCAGUGAAGAAGCUGGGGUUACACAAAGGUUAAAUAAGCUCCUUAUUCACAGUUACUGACUAGAAGGUUCAUGAGGCAAGGUUCAAACCCAAGCCGGCUGGCUACAGAGCUCAGACCUGUGGCCACUACAAUGUACUGCCUGUUAUUCUGUUGUGUGUGUAUGUCUCUGUGUAUGUGUGUCUGCAGAAACUCUGCAAAGCCUGCCUUAUUUAAACAGUUUUCUUUGAUCACCCAUUCGAGCACUGUGUAUAGCAGAGGGGAGGCAGCAGCAAACAACAGGGAUAAAGCUCAAAGAAUACGUCUAGUUAAACAAGUAUGAGGUCAGUAAGGAUGCUGACCAGUUAGAAAGGGUACUAAACAAGUGAGAGCAGGCAGCCGGAUCCAAACCAGGAUGAGCAGGGAAACUUCCUGAAGGAAGUGAUGUUUAGAAGGAGAAGCAGGAGUUAGCUAGGCAGAGUGUUGUUGGCGGGUGUACAGAGGGGUGUCAGAGAAGGGGCUAACCCAAGGUCAUGAGAAUGGCCAGAGUAUGUCCUGCCAGUUUUCUACUAAAGCCUCACUACUCCUGGAUAUCACACCCCAAAGCUAGUCAACCUGUAGCCUCGCUGGUCGAGAGGACGAGAUGUGCCACGGUACCACACACCACCCUUUUCUUCCCCAGCUAGCUGCCCGGGCCAGGGUUUUAGAGGCGCAGUUUCAUGUAGGCACAUCCUAGAACUAAAAUCAAUUCAGCAAUGCCUGCAGCAAAGCUGGAGGAAAUACAAGAAGACCAAAGCAAGUGUUUUUUUUUAACUGAAUUUAUGAUGCAGAAAACAUAAUGUAUUCUUUAGACAUUU
rnacentral:lncRNA from 1 species